ACUUAGUGGCGGACGGGUGAGUAACGCGUGGGUAACCUGGCCCAUACAGGGGGAUAACACUUAGAAAUAGGUGCUAAUACCGCAUAACAACAGAAAGCGCAUGCUUUUUGUUUGAAAACCAAGGUGGUAUGGGAUGGACCCGCGUCUGAUUAGCUGGUUGGCGGGGUAAAGGCCCACCAAGGCGACGAUCAGUAGCCGGCCUGAGAGGGUGGACGGCCACACUGGGACUGAGACACGGCCCAGACUCCUACGGAAGGCAGCAG
rnacentral:rRNA from 1 species